CCGGCUGUCGCUGACUUUCUGUGGUCUCUGCUGUGUGGACGCCACUCUGGCCCUUGCAGAGCAGACGAUGCUGACGAGCGUGGCUGUCACUAACAUGGUCAACUCAGAUACUGCGAGCACUGAAGUCCCGCCCACCUGCUGGCUUACUACUUCAUUAAGAAAAAGGAGUUUCACUCACAAACAGGUGAAAGAACUUCUAACAGCUCGUCACAUCAGUCACUGUAGUAACUCAGCUUUCAUUAUUAUUUAUGUGGCAUUUAACAUAUAAAAGCACACGUUAGUCAAAACCCCCGGUGGUCAUAAAGGAAACUGUGGUUCUUACUAUAAUAAGUUACAGGUACAGAAAGUGGCAGUAUGGUUUACAUGUAGUAUGAUUUCAGCAUUUCUUAUUCCUGGUUCUUACUUAGUCAUUUCCUUCUGAGUUGAAACAGUGAAGAAAGUGACUGAGGCCGAUUAAGAUCUGCCGAGCUCUGGAAUUAUGUGUUCUAGAACGGUCCAGAGGAUUUGUGCCCUUAAAGACUCUGCAGCCAGGAGGCUGAGCGCUAGCACUGCCAGCUGCCACUAUUUAUUUCUAUAGCACCAAAUCACAACAACAGUCAACUUUAUAUUUGAGCUGACUGCAGGUUAAAGACCCAACAUUAACAGAAAGAAACCCAAAAGUCAGACGACCCCCUAUGAGCAAGCACUUGGCGACAUCGGGAAGAGAAAACUCCCUUUUAACAGGAAGUAACCUUCAGCAGAACCGGGUCAGGGAGGGGCGGGGCCAUCUGCUGUUACAUAUCCUGUGACUGGUCGACACACUGUGGAAGAGCCAGAGAUUAAUAAUGACUAAUGAUUAAAUGCAGAGUGGUGUAUAAGCACAGAGAGAGUGAAGAAGAAGCACACAGUGCAUCAUGGGAAAACUCCAGCAACAUCCAGCCUAUUGCAACGUGACAAAGGCUGUUUAGGUUUACGUGGUUGCAGCGAGAUCCACACAGUAAAAUAAAAAAUGUUUUUAAUGUCUUUUGGAACCAUUCAUUAUUUAACAGUAACAUCUAAUAAGACAUGCACUUAGUGGGGAUAGGUUAAUUGGUUAAUCCAAAUUGCCCAUAGGUGUGAAUGUGUGAGUGAAUGUGAGUGCGAAUGGUUGUCUGUCUCUGUGUGUUGGCCCUGCGACAGACUGGCGACCUGUCCAGGGUGUACCCCGCCUCUCGCCCUAUGACAGCUGGGAUAGGCUCCAGCGCCCCCCGCGACCCUGAAAAGGAUAAGCGGAAGCGGAUGGAUGGAUGGAUCUAAUAAUACAGAUAUGGAGAUGAAAAUGGGCAUAACAGGUCCUCUUUAAAUGUGAAGUAACUUUACUCGUAUGGAGUAACGUCUUCUAUGGCAGCAUGUUAACGACUGACAGGACCUCCUGGUAUCACCACGACUGUCUUGUUUCGGCCUCGGCGACAGAAAGACUGAGUUACAACGAGAGGGCGUGGAGUUUGAGAGACGGUGAAGGUCGCAUUUCAUUGAUGGGAACUGACUGCAGCCUGGUGUUUAGAGCCCAACAUACCAUUACCAUAAAACUAAUUGCUUUGUCAGACUAACGAUCCAAAAGCUGAGAUAAAAAAGAAAACUAUAAUUAACUUCCAGCGAUAAAAAGUUGAUGUAAUAUUUGGUACGAGGUGUCCUUAAACCACCACCUGUAACACUUUUGGAGACUUAAAGCUUAAGGUGGUGGGAACAUGACGUGCACGCUUAUCCUCCCCACGGUUCGUGCGCCCUUUGGACAUUUGCGCUUUGUGCUUUUUUUCAGGCGUUCGUGACUUUUUUUGUAACUUUUUCCUAAAAAUGUAAAGCUACAGUUUAAAGUUUCUUACGCAGCGUCACAGAAAUCAUUUUUGCCACACCUCCUACGCGUCACACUGAAGCGGUGUCUUUUAUUUAUAAAGGCUAUAUUAAAAUGGUGAUUUUUUUUUUGCCUCUAAUUUAAGUUAUAAAGAAUUUAUCAUGGCAUUGUGCGCCCCGGGGCAGCUUUUACUUUCUCGAAUUACUCUUCUCUCGGCCCGUCUCCUUCUUUGCCAACCAUUAAAAAGAGAAUUAUGAUCUCGAACGGCGUCACACUGUGUUUAAAUGCGCCCUCUGUGGUUUGACAUGUUUGUAUGGCUCCUGCAGCACAUGCUAUAAGUGUGUCUGUAUUUAUGUGCUCACGUGUACGACUCUGCGACUGUGCGUGUGGCGGCACAGUCGUUUGUAGAGGAAAUGAAUAGUUGCUACCAUCGUUCAUAGCUCCCUAAUGAGGCGGCUGGGCUCUUGCUUCUCCUCGUGUCUCCUCGUUUUAUACGUUCUGUGUGGCCAGGUCUCCUUCUCAUCUCGUGUCCCUAAAAACACCCGGAGGCCUCAUUACCCUACCGUCAUUGUUUAUUUGGAGGGGAGAAGAAGAGAGGAGAGGAAAGAUCAAAGAAAGGUCUGUGAUCGACUGCUUCCUGUCGCACAACCUUCCACAAGGCCAGGUCUGCUGUCGGGGUCUAAAAACAUGCUGCACAGUCUCAGACUUUGUGUCUGUGGCUCCGAACUUUUGAUGGCGUUCGCUUGAUCAGCGCCAGAUUGCCUCUCGGUGUCAUCUAAUCCUUUCUGAAGGUUAUUGUUUUGCUAUUUUGGGGAGACCCAGCUUCACUCCUCACUUUGAAGAAAAUGAUGUCAUGACUCUAACCAGAGCCCGUGUUGUAAUUAAAAAUGAAACCGCCUGUGAUCACAUUACUGGAUUAUAGUGUUACACAGGAACAUACUUCCAAACCUGACAGGGAGGAUGAGAGGGAGGAAGAAGGGGAGAGUUUUGGAGCAAGAAAGCAGCGUUUCAAAGAGUGACAGGAAGGAAAAAGUAAAGGAGAGGCUGGUUUUUCUUUUUCUUUUCUUUUUGUCAAAAGGAAAACAAAUCCCCUUGAACAAAUCCUGGUGUACAGCAGCUUUUGUUAUAUUUGUCCUACUUCCUGACUUACAGUUAUGCAGAAAUAUUUCCAGUCUUCAGUUAUUAAAAUUUGUCUCAAACAUUGGCUCUUGGAUCCAGAUGUCAGCAAUGGAAGAAACUGGUUUCUGGAAAAGAAUAUUCAGAGAAUAUUCUGCCCCCAUCAACUAUGAACAAAUAAGAGAAUGAAUAGAUGGAUCGAUGGGACUUUAAAUCAAGGUGAAAACUGGGAUUAAGCUUGACACUGGAAAACAAUAACGUAAAAGAAAUGAUUGCGUUGGCUUUCCAGUUCUCCUGUUUUGUACACAUGAUGAGCGCGGGACUGUCUGCAUAUAAAUGUUUGUACGCAGGUAUUUGUAUAAGAUACGUGAACUACAUAUGUCUGUCUGUCGCUGUGUUGAUAAUAUAAAAUGAUUUUAUUAGCAAAACAGCUAACAGACGUAAUAAAUGUGCUCAACAAAGUCAUUUCUGUUAAUCUGAAAGUGCUGGUGCAAAUGCGCCUGUUCAAUUUUCCUGUUUUAUUAAAAUGGACAUUUCAUUUGACAUCUUCCUCCAUCAAGGCUUAAAAUGUAUUUAACUGUAUGUGCUUUUUGACUUUAACAGAGAGAAAGAAUAUUACUGAGCAGAAAUAAGGAAGCGAAUAUUCACAGCAAAGGUCUGUUUUGUACCAUUAAACAUGAGAACGUUUUCCAGCAUGUGCAAUAGUUCCUGCACACUCGCAGCAUGAAGUGUUUGUACUUCAGUUAGAAGCAUGUUUCAUGCCUGGAUCAUGUUUCUCAAACAACUGAUGAGGGAGAAAAUCACCAUGGCAACCAAGACAACAAAGCUUUGAAAAAGUGGGAACUGAAUUUUUUUUUUUUUUAGCCAUCCAAGUAGUUUUAUUGUUUUAGCCACUGUUUAUUAAAAAAUAAGCGACACUAAAAGAUGUGCAAGAUUUACACGUUUUGUGCGUGCAGUGGUGUCGGUCAGCAUCGCUGCUCAGGGACGCUGUCAUACCAGUGUUUGCCAGACAUGAAAUCAUAGAAACAUAUUCAGUGAGUUUGCUGAAAUGUCAUCUAUUGUAUGAAUCGCUUUAGUGCGACCCAUUACGAGGAAGGUGGGAAGACUGAAGAGAGACGUCGACCAAAGCAACCUUACCGACCUCACACAGAUAUCGAUUUUCGUGAAUCUUUUCUCCGUUUUUCUCAGAUAAGUCUCGUGUGUGUCGGAACGUAGUAACGUGAUGGGCUUAAUGGGAGGAUGAGCAUUUCAAUAGCUAUUCAACACGCACACACACACGCACACACACACACACACACACACACACAGGUUUCCACAUGUUUCAUUGAGUAAUGAACCGUUUCCACAUCCUUUGGCAAACUAAUUGAAAAUAUUGCAAAACGAUUGAUUGGGUUAAGGAGCUGAAAUUAUUGUUUAGCAGGUUUGAGAUCUGUUGACUGCAUAAGAUUCACAUGAUUUUCACACUGAUGAAAUUAUUCAGUGAGCCCUGGUGUCCUAUAGACGAGGGGGGGCACUGUCAUCCUGCAAGAGGCCACUCGUCUCCAGAUCGUACAUUAAGAUGUGAAAUGUUAUUACAAGACUCAUUAGAUAUAAAGAGAAUUUAGUUUAUUCCAAAUGUGUUUUAUUAUUAGUUACUGUUUUUGUUUAGGCUACUCAUUACUGCUUAUUUUUAAAGGUAAUUUUGGUUCCUAACUGCGGCUGUUUAGAGCGUCACACGAUGAAGCCGCCAUGACGUCACCCACUGGUUUGACUGUAAAACUGCGUGUUCAUUGGACUUUAUGUUUUAUUCCAUAUGACCAGAAAUAAGUGACUGAACUCAUAAACUUAUCAGAAAAGUGUUUACAAAUCUCAGAGCCCAGAGACGUUUUUCAGUCCACGAGCCAAGAAGUCUUUUUGCAACCACCUGCCCUCUGGUGGCCAUUCAAGCCUGCAGCUGUAAAGCACUUCCAUGUUGGGUUCACCUUUCAGACCCAGAAGCUUGUUGAUGCGUCUGUGGUCGGGGAGAAGAGGAAGUGAAGCUGAGUGCAUGCGCUCCCGUUGCUGUUAUUACAUAAGAUGCUCUCGUAGGAGAAACAACAGCCCAGCUUCACCCACACAGACCUGAGAGUACUAAAGCAGAAACAGGGUUAUGAUAUUGUGAACAUGUUUUCUAUAUUUAUCAGUCGAUAGGUUAUUAAUUAGCAUGACCUAAUCAGCAUUUUCUAUACUGCUCAUUUUGUAUUCCAUACAGACUAAGUGUCCACAAUCAGUGCGUUAUAAUUUAGUCAUUUUGAAAAAUGUCAAUGGGAUUUGUGAUGAAUGUGGUUCAUUAUGAACUGAUUUCGUAUGACUGUUUAAUCAUUAUCAACCUUUUUAAAUAUAAAAGUUCAAAGUGAAGAUCUGCUGAAGAUUGCAGUAUUGUGGGGAGGUGUGAGGAACGCGAGCCUGUACAGGUCUGUGCGUCCCUCCAUGUCAGACCAACGCGAACUGUUCACGUCUGGAUGACGGCCGCUUUCAGCGGUACCACCGUCUGUCCCUCACCCAGUUUGAGGAGCUGCUGUCCCGCGUUGGUCCAAGCGGCGCCCGCCUAGACACCAACUACAGGCGCUCAAUCCCACCUGCAGAGCGCCUGUUCAUCUGCCUGCAGUCACUAAAAGUGUUUAAUACAGCAGUCCUUUAUUUAUACCUGUGCUAAUAUAUGCUCAUUUAAAGUCCCAGUGACUUCCCCACAAACCUCUGAAGAGCGUUCCUGCCUUUCUUUUUUUGGAGUGGAGCUUUCCUCCGAAAUAAACUAACUUGUCUUUAUC
ensembl:lncRNA